rnacentral:snRNA from 1 species
GUGAUUGCUUCGGCUGCACAUAUACUAAAAUUGGAAUGAUACAGAGAAGAUUAGUAUGCCCACUNUGCAAUAAAAAAAACCCAAAAGAAAACAAGUAGCACUGCCCAUUUAU